rnacentral:rRNA from 1 species
UAGGGAAUCUUCCACAAUGGACGAAGUCUGAUGGAGCAACGCCGCGUGAGUGAUGAAGGGUUUCGGCUCGUAAAACUCUGUUGUUGGAGAAGAACGGGUGUCAGAGUAACUGUUGACAUCGUGACGGUAUCCAACCAGAAAGCCACGGCUAACUACGUGCCAGCAGCCGCGGUAAUACGUAGGUGGCAAGCGUUGUCCGGAUUUAUUGGGCGUAAAGCGAGCGCAGGCGGUUUUUUAGGUCUGAUGUGAAAGCCUUCGGCUUAACCGGAGAAGUGCAUCGGAAACCGGGAGACUUGAGUGCAGAAGAGGACAGUGGAACUCCAUGUGUAGCGGUGAAAUGCGUAGAUAUAUGGAAGAACACCAGUGGCGAAGGCGGCUGUCUGGUCUGCAACUGACGCUGAGGCUCGAAAGCAUGGGUAGCGAACAGGAUUAGAUACCCUGGUAGUCCAUGCCGUAAACGAUGAGUGCUAAGUGUUGGAGGGU